rnacentral:rRNA from 1 species
UACGUAGGUGGCGAGCGUUGUCCGGAAUUACUGGGUGUAAAGCGCGUGUAGGCGGGAGGCCAAGUCUGCGGUGAAGUCGCUCGGCUCAACUGGGCGGGGUCCGUGGAAACUGGUCACCUGGAGGACGGUAGAGGCGAGUGGAAUUCCCGGUGUAGUGGUGAAAUGCGUAGAGAUCGGGAGGAACACCAGUGGCGAAGGCGGCUCGCUGGGCCGGACCUGACGCUGAGACGCGAAGGCGUGGGAGGCGAACGGGAUAGAACCUUG